CCAGCCGCUACCAGCCACCGCCGCUAGUCACCGUCGCCACCAUCCCUUCAUUUCACACAUAUUGGAGAUUCGUAACAUACCUGAAGCUUUGCCAUACUUUGUCACCCCUAAAGCCAUUGAUGAAAAUUCUUCACUUUUGCAACACAAUUGUCACACUGGGCUGCUUGUUCAAUCACAAUGAUUUUAGGUUUCCUUGCAACACAAUAAGGGUCAUCCUCGUGUGAUGGCUUAUGUUCUAAGGUUGUUGGAAUCGUAUCCUCCUGAUUUGGUGACCUUCUUCAUGCCUCAACUGGUGCAGGCUUUAAGAUAUGAUGAUGAGUGCAAGGAUACCUACUCAGAGCCACCCAACAGAGUGAUGUAUUUGCUCAUAUUCUGAUAUGGCAUUUACAGGUGCAAGAAACUUUACUUUGUUUAUUGAUUUCUUUGAAUGCUACUGCCCUUAGUAGUGUUGGAUAUGCAGUUGCUAGCCUGUUGCUUCAACCAAAGGAUAGACAUAACGAGAACCUUCUAUUUUACAGGGUAGUUCACCUAACUUCAGGACUGGGUUUCAGUUACUGGAAGACAGUAUUUACAGGUCCGCAUUGGAGCCACAUUUACUAGAUUAAUUGUUUAUUUCAAUUUUUGUUUUCUUUUUAUUUUUCAUUUGAAAAAGCUUCAUGCAACUCCAUUUGAAAUGCAAUGCAAGGAUAUCAUUGUAUUAACUUUGAGAUUAUAAAAUAUUAAAUUGUAUUUGAGCAGG